GACGGAGGAUGCAAGCGUUAUCCGGAAUUAUUGGGCGUAAAGCGUCCGCAGGUGGCUGUUCAAGUCUGCUGUCAAAGCGCAGAGCUUAACUCUGUAUAGGCGGUGGAAACUGAAGAGCUAGAGUAUGGUAGGGGUAGAGGGAAUUCCCGGUGUAGCGGUGAAAUGCGUAGAUAUCUGGAGGAACACCGGUGGCGAAGGCGGCAUCCUGGACCGAUACUGACGCUGAGGAGCGAAAGCCAGGGGAGCAAACGGG
rnacentral:rRNA from 1 species